rnacentral:snoRNA from 1 species
GUACAAAUGAUGAGAACAUAACAGUAUGAAUGAUGAUGAUACUGUAAACGCUUUCUGAUGUA